AACGAACGCUGGCGGCAUGCCUAACACAUGCAAGUCGAACGCCCUCUUCGGAGGGAGUGGCGCACGGGUGCGUAACGCGUGGGAACCUGCCCUUAGGUUCGGAAUAACUCAGAGAAAUUUGAGCUAAUACCGGAUAAUGUCUUCGGACCAAAGAUUUAUCGCCUUUGGAUGGGCCCGCGUUGGAUUAGCUAGUUGGUGGGGUAAAGGCCUACCAAGGCGACGAUCCAUAGCUGGUCUGAGAGGAUGAUCAGCCACACUGGGACUGAGACACGGCCCAGACUCCUACGGGAGGCAGCAGUGGGGAAUAUUGGACAAUGGGCGAAAGCCUGAUCCAGCAAUGCCGCGUGAGUGAUGAAGGCCUUAGGGUUGUAAAGCUCUUUACUGGGGAUGAUAAUGACAGUACCCAGAGAAUAAGCCCCGGCUAACUUCGUGCCAGCAGCCGCGGUAAU
rnacentral:rRNA from 1 species